AUACGGAGGGCGCAAGCGUUGCUCGGAAUCACUGGGCGUAAAGGGGGCGUAGGCGGCCAGGCAAGUCCGGUGUCAAAGCCACGGCUCAACCGUGGAACGGCGCCGGAAACUGUCUGGCUUGGGGCCGGAAGGGGAGAGCGGAAUUCCCGGUGUAGCGGUGAAAUGCGUAGAUAUCGGGAAGAACACCGGUGGCGAAGGCGGCUCUCUGGGACGCGCCCGACGCUGAGGCCCGAAAGCGUGGGGAGCGAACCGGAUUAGAAACCCUAGUAGUCC
rnacentral:rRNA from 1 species